UCUUUUUCUCUCUUUGGGAAGAACUUUUUUUCUCUAAUCUUUUACUAUAAAAUUAGCAGAGAAUCCUCUCUUUGAUGUCUAAGAACCAACAACAAAACCUCUAAAAAAUCUCUUCCAAAGAGAUAUGGAGAAGGGGCUUGGUGUGUGGGUGUUGGGGUGUCCAACUCUUGGAUGCCCCCUCCUUAUUUUUUUGGGUGACAAGACAAAGAGGAGGGAUGCCUCUUUUUCUUCA
rnacentral:lncRNA from 1 species